UCCCUGGAGGACUAGUGGUUAGGCCACGGCACUCUCACCACUGCGCCCAGGGUUCGAUUCCUAGCCAAAGAA